UACGGGGGGGGCAAGCGUUGUUCGGAAUUACUGGGCGUAAAGGGCUCGUAGGCGGCCAACUAAGUCAGACGUGAAAUCCCUGGGCUCAACCCAGGAACUGCGUCCAAGACUGGGAGGCUUGAAUCCGGGAGAGGGAUGCGGAAUUCCAGGUGUAGCGGUGAAAUGCGCAGAUAUCAGGAGGAACACCGGUGGCGAAGGCAGCCUUCUGGGCCAACACUGACGCUCAUGCACGAAAGCGUGGGGAGCAAACAGG
rnacentral:rRNA from 1 species